CCUACGGGAGGCAGCAGUAGGGAAUUUUGCGCAAUGGGCGAAAGCCUGACGCAGCAACACCGCGUGAAUGUUAAGCCCUUCGGGGUGUAAAGUUCUGUCAAUAGGGACGAAUUUUGACUGUACCUAUAAAGGAAGCACCGGCUAACUACGUGCCAGCAGCCGCGGUAAUACGUAGGGGGCAAGCGUUAUCCGGAUUUACUGGGUGUAAAGGGAGCGUAGAUGGUGAUGCAAGUCAGAAGUGAAAGCCCGGGGCUCAACUCCGGGACUGCUUUUGAAACUGUGUGACUGGAGUGCAGGAGAGGUAAGCGGAAUUCCUGGUGUAGCGGUGAAAUGCGUAGAUAUCAGGAGGAACACCAGUGGCGAAGGCGGCUUACUGGACUGUAACUGACGUUGAGGCUCGAAAGCAUGGGGAGCAAACAGGAUUAGAUACCCGAGUAGUC
rnacentral:rRNA from 1 species